rnacentral:rRNA from 1 species
GUGGGGAAUAUUGGACAAUGGGCGAAAGCCUGAUCCAGCCAUGCCGCGUGUGUGAAGAAGGCCUUCGGGUUGUAAAGCACUUUAAGCGAGGAGGAAGGUUCGUCACCUAAUACGUGACGGAAUUGACGUUACUCGCAGAAUAAGCACCGGCUAACUCUGUGCCAGCAGCCGCGGUAAUACAGAGGGUGCAAGCGUUAAUCGGAAUUACUGGGCGUAAAGCGCGAGUAGGCGGUUGUGUAAGUUGGAUGUGAAAUCCCCGGGCUUAACCUGGGCACUGCAUUCAAAACUGCACGGCUAGAGUAUUGGAGGGGAAGGUAGAAUUCCAGGUGUAGCGGUGAAAUGCGUAGAGAUCUGGAGGAAUACCGAUGGCGAAGGCAGCCUUCUGGCCAAAUACUGACGCUGGGGUGCGAAAGCAUGGGGAGCAAACAGGAUUAGAUACCCCAGUAGUCC